UUCCUCCACUCACACAUUUUCACAUUUCAUCUCUUUUUUCCUCACCACAAAACCCUAGCCUCCAUGGAUGAAGCUUGAAGCUUUAGGCAUUAACCUUGAUCUUUGAGGCCCUUCCACUUACUUUAGACCAUAAAGCUUGGAAUACUUUUUGUUCCCCUCAUCCUCCUCUUCAAAACCCUUGAAGGAUCUAACCUAACUCCUAGUUUUGCUUUGGUAUCUAGGGAUUCAAUUCUUUAGUGAGACCAAAAAUUUAGGGUGAUUUCAUUUUGGUGGUAAUUGGGAUUUUCAUUCCAAUUGAGGUCGAUGCAUGCUCAUUUCCUACGAGUAGCUUUAUGUUACUCACCCCUACGAUACUGGGGCAUAUUUCAAGUACAGGAUACAAGAUUGGAGAUUGCAAUUGCUUGGGUGAUUUGCUGAGUUGAGCUUCUUUAGAAACAUUCUUGUUCACAUGCAAGUGUUAGCAUGUUCAUGAUUUGUCUAUGAAAUGUAAUUUUUCUAACUUGGAGGUCUGACAUGUCAAAUGUUGUAAAUGAGUUGUAAUAAGGCCAUGGGCCAUUGUAGCAUGUUUAAAAUACCAUUUUACACUUGCGUGUAUGUUCACAUCAUCACACAAUAGCAGAUAAUGCAAUUUGAUCAUGCUAUGGGGAGUCAUUUUGAUGCCUUAGGGAUGACGUACAUCUCCAGUGGCCACUUAGUUUCCUUCGUUUCCGCAUUUCGAAUCCAUUAUCGGGUCAUUCUUUUGGUUCAUCACAGGACACACUAGGUUGAAAAAUCUAGGGUCGUCACAUAUUCGAUUGAUUUUUGCAAAAGUUUUUUUUGGAAAACCAUGUUCUCCAACAAACUAGGCAAGUUUAAGAAAAUAAUGUAUUUGAUCUAAAGAAAAAUCUUUUUCCCAGUCAACAGUGAGACAGAUCUGGAUGCAAAGCUUUUUUAUAUUGCAGCAACCCUGCAAGGAAAUGCUCUUGAUUGGCUUCGCUAGUGGGAUCAAACAGAUCAAGGUAAGUGACAGAAAGGUGAGCUUCUUAAUAAUUUUAACGAACUCGACGCCAUUCUACAAGGAUUCGUCAAGAUCCUUAAAAAAGAACUCGUUGGUCAUACCGGAGAAACCCUCCUUUUCGAUGAUGUUCGUUCGUAAACUGGACUUCUUCUCCAAUAACAUUACUGAGUUUAAUGUUAGAGGAUUCUUCUUCAGGAUGAGACACGCCUAAUGUCUUACAUCAUACUCUAUAGUCUCAUUAGACGGCAAUGGUGUGGUUCUAAUUUUACUUCGAGUAGCUAACCAUCAAUGCAACUAGCUAGAAUCAAAACUUUUCUCACCUAUUCCUUUCCCAAAAAAAAUUUAAAAAAAAAACAAAUAAUAAUAAUAUAGGCAAUGAGCUCAAGCCCACCAGAGCUAAAGUCAAUUGGAGCUUUAUUUACAGACCUAAAGAAUGUGGUGGCUUUAGGUAUUCCUAACAUUGCCACCCUUAAUAGAAUUUCUAUUCUUAGGCAUGUUCGGAAUUUUUUUGAGGAUAAUGGGCAAUCAAUUUGGCAUGACUGGGUGCAUAUUAUUCUUAUCAAAGAUAAAAGUUUUUGGAGCAUCAAGCCGUCUCCUGGAAUUGGGGGGGAUGAUUCUCAAGCACAGAGGACUGGCUAGGCCAUUUCUUAAGCACAUUAAUAUAGGAGAUGGGAAAUGUAUUUCUAUGUGGCAUGACUAUUGGCUUCCUCUAGGGCCUUGACAAAAUAAUUGAUCCAUUACUUAUACCCAUUCCUCAUUUGCAGCUUGUUGUUUGUGGUUCGUUUUGGUAUCACAAUAAAAUAAAGAUAUAAAGGUGAUAUCUUAAACACAAAUAUGAAGGUGCUUGAUGAAGGAGGAGAAGGAGACCGAUCUCAAUAAAUUUAGAUGGAGGUAGGGAGAAUAUGCAAUCAUUGUGAUAGAGUUUUAAUUCUGUCUUGUAGUCCUGCCUCAUUCAUUAUGAGAGAGUGUUA